UAGGGAAUCUUCCGCAAUGGACGAAAGUCUGACGGAGCAACGCCGCGUGAACGAAGAAGGCCUUCGGGUCGUAAAGUUCUGUUGUUAGGGAAGAACAAGUACGAGAGUAACUGCUCGUACCUUGACGGUACCUAACCAGAAAGCCACGGCUAACUACGUGCCAGCAGCCGCGGUAAUACGUAGGUGGCAAGCGUUGUCCGGAAUUAUUGGGCGUAAAGCGCGCGCAGGCGGUCCUUUAAGUCUGAUGUGAAAGCCCACGGCUCAACCGUGGAGGGUCAUUGGAAACUGGGGGACUUGAGUGCAGAAGAGGAGAGUGGAAUUCCACGUGUAGCGGUGAAAUGCGUAGAGAUGUGGAGGAACACCAGUGGCGAAGGCGACUCUCUGGUCUGUAACUGACGCUGAGGCGCGAAAGCGUGGGGAGCAAACA
rnacentral:rRNA from 1 species